GCAAGUCGAGGGGUAGCAGGGAGCUUGCUUCAGAUGACGACCGGCGCACGGGUGCGUAACGCGUAUAGAACCUACCUUUUACAAAGGGAUAGCCUUUAGAAAUGAAGAUUAAUACCUUAUAGUAUUUUAGAUUAGCAUUAAUUUAAAAUUAAAGAUUUAUCGGUAAAAGAUGGCUAUGCGUUCUAUUAGCUAGAUGGAGUGGUAACGGCACCCCAUGGCUACGAUAGAUAGGGGCCCUGAGAGGGGGAUC
rnacentral:rRNA from 1 species